rnacentral:rRNA from 1 species
AGCAGCCGCGGUAAUUCCAGCUCCAAUAGCGUAUAUUAAAGUUGUUGCAGUUAAAAAGCUCGUAGUUGAAUUUCGGGGUCAGUAGGUUGGUCAUGCCACAGGUAUGUACUGAUUUUACUGAUUCCUCCUUCCUGAUGAACCGUAAUGCCAUUAAUUUGGUGUUGCGGGGAAACUGGACUGUUACUUUGAAAAAAUUAGAGUGUUUAAAGCAGGCUAACGCUUGAAUACAUUAGCAUGGAAUAAUGAAAUAGGACGUUCGAUCCUAUUUUGUUGGUUUCUAGGAUUGACGUAAUGAUUAAUAGGGGUAGUUGGGGGCAUUAGUAUUCAAUUGUCAGAGGUGAAAUUCUUGGAUUUAUUGAAGACUAACUACUGCGAAAGCAUUUGCCAAGGAUGUUUUCAUUAAUCAAGAACGAAAGUUAGGGGAUCGAAGACGAUCAGAUACCGUCGUAG